rnacentral:rRNA from 1 species
GGCUUAACACAUGCAAGUCGAGGGGCAGCAUGGUCUUAGCUUGCUAAGGCCGAUGGCGACCGGCGCACGGGUGAGUAACACGUAUCCAACCUGCCGUCUACUCUUGGACAGCCUUCUGAAAGGAAGAUUAAUACAAGAUGGCAUCAUGAGUCCGCAUGUUCACAUGAUUAAAGGUAUUCCGGUAGACGAUGGGGAUGCGUUCCAUUAGAUAGUAGGCGGGGUAACGGCCCACCUAGUCUUCGAUGGAUAGGGGUUCUGAGAGGAAGGUCCCCCACAUUGGAACUGAGACACGGUCCAAACUCCUACGGGAGGCAGCAGUGAGGAAUAUUGGUCAAUGGGCGAGAGCCUGAACCAGCCAAGUAGCGUGAAGGAUGACUGCCCUAUGGGUUGUAAACUUCUUUUAUAAAGGAAUAAAGUCGGGUAUGCAUACCCGUUUGCAUGUACUUUAUGAAUAAGGAUCGGCUAACUCCGUGCCAGCAGCCGCGGUAAUACGGAGGAUCCGAGCGUUGUCCGGAUUUAUUGGGUUUAAAGGGAGCGUAGAUGGAUGUUUAAGUCAGUUGUGAAAGUUUGCGGCUCAACCGUAAAAUUGCAGUUGAUACUGGAUAUCUUGAGUGCAGUUGAGGCAGGCGGAAUUCGUGGUGUAGCGGUGAAAUGCUUAGAUAUCACGAAGAACUCCGAUUGCGAAGGCAGCCUGCUAAGCUGCAACUGACAUUGAGGCUCGAAAGUGUGGGUAUCAAACAGGAUUAGAUACCCUGGUAGUCCACACGGUAAACGAUGAAUGCUCGCUGUUUGCGAUAUACGGCAAGCGGCCAAGCGAAAGCGUUAAGUAUUCCACCUGGGGAGUACGCCGGCAACGGUGAAACUCAAAGGAAUUGACGGGGGCCCGCACAAGCGGAGGAACAUGUGGUUUAAUUCGAUGAUACGCGAGGAACCUUACCCGGGCUUAAAUUGCAGAUGAAUUACGGUGAAAGCCGUAAGCCGCAAGGCAUCUGUGAAGGUGCUGCAUGGUUGUCGUCAGCUCGUGCCGUGAGGUGUCGGCUUAAGUGCCAUAACGAGCGCAACCCUUGUUGUCAGUUACUAACAGGUUCCGCUGAGGACUCUGACAAGACUGCCAUCGUAAGAUGUGAGGAAGGUGGGGAUGACGUCAAAUCAGCACGGCCCUUACGUCCGGGGCUACACACGUGUUACAAUGGGGGGUACAGAGGGCCGCUACCACGCGAGUGGAUGCCAAUCCCAAAAACCUCUCUCAGUUCGGACUGGAGUCUGCAACCCGACUCCACGAAGCUGGAUUCGCUAGUAAUCGCGCAUCAGCCACGGCGCGGUGAAUACGUUCCCGGGCCUUGUACACACCGCCCGUCAAGCCAUGGGAGCCGGGGGUACCUGAAGUGCGUAACCGCGAGGAGCGCCCUAGGGUAAAACUGGUGACUGGGGCUAAGA